rnacentral:rRNA from 1 species
AGUGAACGCUGGCGGUAGGCCUAACACAUGCAAGUCGAACGGCAGCACAGUAAGAGCUUGCUCUUACGGGUGGCGAGUGGCGGACGGGUGAGGAAUACAUCGGAAUCUACUUUUUCGUGGGGGAUAACGUAGGGAAACUUACGCUAAUACCGCAUACGACCUACGGGUGAAAGCAGGGGAUCUUCGGGCCUUGCGCGAUUGAAUGAGCCGAUGUCGGAUUAGCUAGUUGGCGGGGUAAAGGCCCACCAAGGCGACGAUCCGUAGCUGGUCUGAGAGGAUGAUCAGCAACACUGGAACGAAGACAAGGUCCAGACUCCUACGGGAGGAAGCAGUGGGGAAUAUUGGACAAUGGGCGCAAGCCUGAUCCAGCCAUACCGCGUGGGUGAAGAAGGCCUUCGGGUUGUAAAGCCCUUUUGUUGGGAAAGAAAAGCAGCAGGUUAAUACGCCGCUGUUCUGACGGUACCCAAAGAAUAAGCACCGGCUAACUUCGUG